GAUGAACGCUGGCGGCGUGCUUAAUACAUGCAAGUCGAACGGCAGCACGGACUUCGGUCUGGUGGCGAGUGGCGAACGGGUGAGUAACAUAUCGGAACGUAUCCAAUAAUGGGGGAUAACUAAUCGAAAGGUUGGCUAAUACCGCAUACGCCCUGAGGGGGAAAGCUAGGGAUCGUCAAGACCUGGCGUUAAUGGAGCGGCCGAUAUCUGAUUAGCUAGUUGGUGGGGUAAAGGCCCACCAAGGCGACGAUCAGUAGCUGGUCUGAGAGGACGACCAGCCACACUGGAACUGAGACACGGUCCAGACUCCUACGGGAGGCUG
rnacentral:rRNA from 1 species